rnacentral:lncRNA from 1 species
CUCUGCUGUUACCUUUUGAAAUCUUAAUUUGCCUUUUAAAAUAUGGUGCCUCUGGUGCCUUUGCUAAUUUUCAAACUUCAAAUGCUUGGUGUAACAAUGUCACAUAACACUUUCCCCUUUUAAAUCUCCCCAGCUAUCUCAGCUUGAAGCCAAUUUAUAGAUCCCAGUCUCAGCAUGGAUAUAAUAGUGAUGGAGACCAGACAUUCACUAAUAUCCUUCAAAUACAGAAGUCUGCACUGUACACAAAUCCGUUUUCAAGCAUGUGGAUUUUGAGCAGUGGAGCACUGUGAGGGAGUCCAUAUUCCUGAGUAGAACGUGCCACUGACUAGUCCCUGGGAGGCUUCAGUAAAAGGCAGCCAUUUUGGCUCAUCCAGGAAACAAGGAGAGUGACUGAGCCAAAAUGGCGAUCGACAGCCUAUUGAUUACAGCUGUAGGCAGGGAUAAUUAGUCUCGAAUUGCUAUAUUGUAUAACUGGUGACAAAAAGUAAUUGCUUUUAGGAAAAAGACCAGUAGAGAGCAAGAGAGGCAGAGAAAAAGGUAUGUGUAUAUUGUUAUUUUUUGGAUGUUUUGAGCUUUGAAAGUAGUCCUGCGUCAUUUCUUGUUAGGGAAAAGCUUACUAAAUU